CCCUCAGUUGACUUUUGGGGAAAAAAAGGAGCCAUUGUUUGAACUUUGAAACCAAAUCGACCGUACGAUGUCGUCUCCCGGUGAAGUCGUAAACAAAUACGUUGUCGUUUGAUGAUUUUUUUACCCUAACCACUCUCCCAAGUACUACGUAUUUGCCUUUGAAUCAAACACCGUAGACUAUAUAUAACUCAAUUUAUCUCCCUCACUUCAGCCUUUACACAUCGCUCAUGGGUCAGAUUAUCACCCGUCUUUUGCUUGAGAUUUGUCACUUUCUUUGCCAGACUUUUUGUUAAUUUCGAAGCCUUCCUUUCCUUGUUAGGUGCUAGAGCAGAUGGAGUCCGAGAAAAACCAAUCCGCCAUGCAAGCCCUAGAAUCUGAAUCUGCUCCAGUUCGAUCUCUUCAUGUGGAAGGGUGAAAUAUGACACUGCAGGGAUCGUUGCUACUAUGAGGAAUAGCUUUACUCGGUUUAUUCAUGCUUCCAUGGAUGAACACAUGGGUUGUUUCGUAGGAUCCCUUGGGCAGCUGCUUGACAACAGGGAAUUUGGGAGCUAUAAUGCCAAUACAAACAUGUUGAUUUUUUUUUCCUAGGCCCUGAACUUGAUGAAGCUGAGAGUUCUCUCUGUCCCUUUCUAUAGUAGCAAUUAGCAAGAAAACAAGAAGUCUUUGUCAUGCUUUAUUUUGUGAUGUAAGUGUGAGGUGCAAAAGCCUUUUAGGGGAAUGUCGUAUCAUUGUUUUUUCCUCUUUUUUUAUUAGUGGCAUAGGAGAGAAGGUUAUGGAUUGGAUCUUCUUGAUAUCCAGAAUUAUAAUCCUCUAUCUCAGGCUAAUUUCAAGGCAAUGAAAGGUAAUACAGAUUACUUGAUUA